rnacentral:rRNA from 1 species
CCUACGGGCGGCAGCAGUGGGGAAUAUUGGACAAUGGGGGGAACCCUGAUCCAGCCAUGCCGCGUGUGUGAAGAAGGCCCUCGGGUUGUAAAGCACUUUCAGUGAGGAAGAACGCCUGGUGGUUAAUACCCAUCAGGAAAGACAUCACUCACAGAAGAAGCACCGGCUAACUCCGUGCCAGCAGCCGCGUUAAUACGGAGGGUGCGAGCGUUAAUCGGAAUUACUGGGCGUAAAGCGCGCGUAGGUGGCUUGAUAAGCCGGUUGUGAAAGCCCCGGGCUCAACCUGGGAACGGCAUCCGGAACUGUCAAGCUAGAGUGCAGGAGAGGAAGGUAGAAUUCCCGGUGUAGCGGUGAAAUGCGUAGAGAUCGGGAGGAAUACCAGUGGCGAAGGCGGCCUUCUGGACUGACACUGACACUGAGGUGCGAAAGCGUGGGUAGCAAACAGGAUUAGAUACCCUAGUAGUC